AAGAGCCACAAACAUUGAAGCAUGUGUUUGAAUAGGAAAGCACAGAAAAAAGACAACAGUUGAGAGUCAGAGAAACUAUGCAGACAGAAAAGAACAGAAACAUUUUAUCAGGAAAAAAUUACAGCUUAACAGUAAAAUGACUUUAAAUGGAAGGCAGGAGGGUAAGAUGAGUAUAUACUGAAGGUCAAAAAAGCUCCAAAAUACUUUAUAAAAAUAUGCUUUAGACCAAUUAUAUUUUAAAUACCUAAUUCAUCAGGAAGCUUAUAUAAAUAAGAAGCUUAAGGAAAAACAUUUACUUACUAUAAUAUAAAUUUUGAAUUCAAAGUUUUUAAGGGAAAAGACCUUAAAGGAAUAGAAUUUCUGAACAUCUUGCUGGCAAGAUUUUUGGGCCACUCAUUUAAGUGACAGAAUGAAAUUACAAGGGACAUAAAAACAUAAAAUUUCAUUUUUAAGUGCAGAAAUUUCUGACAAGAUGUCUUGUAAGAAAUGUUGACCAGCAAAUCCAACUUAAAAUGUAAGAAAAAACAUAUCAUUAAAAUCUUCAUAAUACUAUAUAUCUUUACAUUCCUGUUUGAUUGACUAAAGAUUCUAUUUUUUAAGUCUGCAAAUUGAUUACUGUUAAAAGGGGUUACUUUGUCCAAACUAGAUACUCAUACACCACCAAAAUGGACAUUGUUUGCUUAAAGAAAGGUAUUACAUUUUAGCACUGGCUGACAAAACUGAUUCAGGAAAAAUUCAGUCCAAUCUUUAAAAAAGAUGUUUUUUAUUUUCCCCCAAUACCUUAUUGUAUUCAAUCCAGGCCAUUCCCAAGAAAACAGCCAUGUUUAUUAAUUUCCUCAUCAGUUUUUCUCCUUUGCUCAUUACUGAAGUAUGGCUAGUACUUAGUAUAUUAUAAACUGGUCUGGCAGGGUCACAAAUUCAUCAUGUCUUCAGGAAUCAGGAUGUUAACAUGUGUAAGUAAAUAGAGGUCCACAUAAGCCAAUAGAGAGUGUUAGGGUCAUUGUACAAGGACAUACAACAAAAAACCAAACAAACCCUUCUUUGCUUUGGUACCUAGUUCUUACUAUUUUCUGCUUCCACACUGUUAAGCAAUGACAUCAUUCAUUACAUGUAGUGAUUUUCAAGGUGCAGAAGUGGGAUGUGCAGGAAAGAGGAGAUCUGGCACACUCUCCCUUCCUUCCAUGCUUUGUAAUACAUACUUCUU
rnacentral:lncRNA from 1 species